ACUGAAUUACAACUGGAACGCAAAUUUAAAUCUGUUCAUCUUACGUUGCAAAAACUACGCAUUAAGAACUUGAAUAUUUUGAUAGUGACCAAAAUUAAUUGGCCGAUUAGCGCCCGGAAUCCCGGUUAGUUCCACCGUGACUGUUUUAAUAUAUUUUGCUGUUAUUAUUUCUUGUAUUCGUUGUGACAUUCGCGAAUUACAGUUUUUA